AUUGAACGCUGGCGGCAGGCCUAACACAUGCAAGUCGAACGAGUGGCGGACGGGGGAGUAAAGUCUGGGAAACUGCCUGAUGGAGGGGGAUAACUACUGGAAACGGUAGCUAAUACCGCAUACCAUCGGAUGUGCCCAGAUGGGAUUAGCUAGGUGGUGGGGUAACGGCUCACCAAGGCGACGAUACCUAGCUGGUCUGAGCGGAUGACCAGCCACACGGGAACUGAGACACGGUCCAGACUCCUAUGCGAGGCAGCAGUGGGGAAUAGUGCACAAGGGGCGCAAGCCUGAUGCAGCCAUGCCGCGUGUAUGAAGAAGGCCUUCGGGUUGUAAAGUAAUGUCAGCGGGGAGGCGGUACCAGAAGAAGAAGCACCGGCUAACUCCGUGCCAGCAGCCGCGGUAAUUC
rnacentral:rRNA from 1 species